GAGUGGCGAACUGGUGAGUAACACGUGGGAAACCUGCCCAGAAGCGGGGGAUAACACCUGGAAACAGAUGCUAAUACCGCAUAACAACUUGGACCGCAUGGUCCGAGUUUGAAAGAUGGCUUCGGCUAUCACUUUUGGAUGGUCCCGCGGCGUAUUAGCUAGAUGGUGGGGUAACGGCUCACCAUGGCAAUGAUACGUAGCCGACCUGAGAGGGUAAUCGGCCACAUUGGGACUGAGACACGGCCCAAACUCCUACGGGAGGCAGCAGUAGGGAAUCUUCCACAAUGGACGAAAGUCUGAUGGAGCAACGCCGCGUGAGUGAAGAAGGGUUUCGGCUCGUAAAACUCUGUUGUUAAAGAAGAACAUAUCUGAGAGUAACUGUUCAGGUAUUGACGGUAUUUAACCAGAAAGCCACGGCUAACUACGUGCCAGCAGCCGCGGUAAUACGUAGGUGGCAAGCGUUGUCCGGAUUUAUUGGGCGUAAAGCGAGCGCAGGCGKUUUUUUAAGUCUGAUGUGAAAGCCUUUCGGCUCAACCGAAGAAGUGCAUCGGAAACUGGGAAACUUGAGUGCAGAAGAGGACAGUGGAACUCCAUGUGUAGCGGUGAAAUGCGUAGAUAUAUGGAAGAACACCAGUGGCGAAGGCGGCUGUCUGGUCUGUAACUGACGCUGAGGCUCGAAAGUAUGGGUAGCAAACAGGAUUAGAUACCCUGGUAGUCCAUACCGUAAACGAUGAAUGCUAAGUGUUGGAGGGUUUCCGCCCUUCAGUGCUGCAGCUAACGCAUUAAGCAUUCCGCCUGGGGAGUACGGCCGCAAGGCUGAAACUCAAAGGAAUUGACGGGGGCCCGCACAAGCGGUGGAGCAUGUGGUUUAAUUCGAAGCUACGCGAAGAACCUUACCAGGUCUUGACAUACUAUGCAAAUCUAAGAGAUUAGACGUUCCCUUCGGGGACAUGGAUACAGGUGGUGCAUGGUUGUCGUCAGCUCGUGUCGUGAGAUGUUGGGUUAAGUCCCGCAACGAGCGCAACCCUUAUUAUCAGUUGCCAGCAUUAAGUUGGGCACUCUGGUGAGACUGCCGGUGACAAACCGGAGGAAGGUGGGGAUGACGUCAAAUCAUCAUGCCCCUUAUGACCUGGGCUACACACGUGCUACAAUGGAUGGUACAACGAGUUGCGAACUCGCGAGAGUAAGCUAAUCUCUUAAAGCCAUUCUCAGUUCGGAUUGUAGGCUGCAACUCGCCUACAUGAAGUCGGAAUCGCUAGUAAUCGCGGAUCAGCAUGCCGCGGUGAAUACGUUCCCGGGCCUUGUACACACCGCCCGUCACACCAUGAGAGUUUGUAACACCCAAAGUCGGUGGGGUAACCUUUUAGGAACCAGCC
rnacentral:rRNA from 1 species